CGGGCGGCGUCGCGGGCGCGCUGCGGGGGCGCCCGCACGCGUCGCGCCUUCCCGCAGCCGCAGCUUUCCGCGGCCUGCGAGCGGGGCUGCCGUAGUCGCAGGGCCGGCUCGGGAUUCCGGGCGCGGUGACGGUCCGCUACGCGUGUCACGUGGCCUCGCCCACGGCCCGCGGAGCCCAGCGCGAGGCAAAGCGACUGCUCGAGAGCCCGCCGAGGUUUUCUCUUUGCACGGCGCCUUCGAAAACAGCCACCUUGAAGCCAGUGGCCGCGGUCGCCUCUCUAGGUCUCACGAAGCCAUUCACGACACAGGCCUUUGACAGCUACUCGGGAUACCAGCCCAGGCUAACAUCAGACUUGCUGAUGAGAGCCUGAACGCUGGUCCUCCAAGAGCUGAAACACGGCAAGGAUGUCCUCUCCCAACGCCCUCCUUCACAUCCCACUGGAAGUUCUAGCCAUGCGAUCAGUAUGGCUACCAAGAACUUAAAAUCACCUACGUGGCUUGCAUUAUGCCUCUAGUGGACGGCAGUGGUCCCCAUGGACACCCAUUCCAGCACAGUCUGUCAAAAACAGCUCUCUUUCCCCCAGCUUGCCUUCGCACCAUGGUCGGGAAUCUGCUGACCAUGUGCGUGCAGCUGUCUGCACCGUUCCACUGAUCCCCGUGUCUGUCCGUGUGCCACAGCCACGCCACCCGAUGACUGUGACUUUAUAGGAAGGCUUGAAAUCGA